rnacentral:rRNA from 1 species
UACAGAGGGUGCGAGCGUUUAAUCGGAAUUACUGGGCGUAAAGCGCGCGUAGGCGGCUUUGCAAGUCGGGUGUGAAAUCCCCAGGCUCAACCUGGGAACUGCAUUCGAGACUGCAUUGCUAGAGUAUGGGAGAGGGAAGUGGAAUUUUCCGGUGUAGCGGUGAAAAUGCGUAGAUAUCGGAAGGAACAUCAGUGGCGAAAAGCGACUUCCUGGACCAAUUACUGACGUCAUGUGCGAAAGCGUGGGGGAGCAAAACAGG